rnacentral:rRNA from 1 species
GAUGAACGUUGGCGGCGUGCCUAACACAUGCAAGUCGAACGGAAAUAGCAAUAUUUGAGUGGCGCACGGGUGAGUAACACGUAGCUAAUCUACCUCAAAGCGCGGGAUAACGUGUCGAAAGACAGGCUAAUACCGCAUAAGCUCCCGAUCUGUAGAGGAUUGGGAGAAAAGGCGUAAGUCACUUUGAGAUGAGGCUGCGGCCCAUCAGCUAGUUGGUGCGGUAAUGGCGUACCAAGGCGACGACGGGUAGGGGACCUGAGAGGGUGACCCCCCAACUGGGACUGAGACACGGCCCAGACUCCUACGGGAGGCAGCAGUGAGGAAUAUUGCACAAUGGGCGAAAGCCUGAUGCAGCGACGCCGCGUGGGUGAAGAAGGUUUUCGGAUCGUAAAACCCUUUUCUGUGUGACGAGCAAGGACGGUAGCACAGGAAUAAGUCUCGGCUAACUACGUG